CUGGGCUUUGCUCCACUUGGAGUCAGCUGAUUGGCAGGAGGGCAUCUGAAAUUGAGAGGAGGUUUCAGGCCGUUUACCCAGCCCUUUAGUGGGGAUCUGUCCGGGACUCUGCAGUCUGAACCUGCAACUGUAAAAGGCAUGGUCCCUGGAAACAACCCUGGUGCUGUCCAGCAGCGUGUUGAACAGGAAGUUGUGUGUGCGAAUACAAGGUUCCAUAAAAUUCCUGAUGGAGAUCGUGGAGUGAAAAGAAAUUAUCACAGAAUUCCAA
rnacentral:lncRNA from 1 species